UUUUUUUUUUAUUUCAGUGAGAGAAAUGGAACAGGAGUAAGGUCCCUAAUGUUAUGUUAAACUGCACUGAAUUAGCCGAGGCAGAAAAAUCUCAACUCCGGUAAAAUGUCAGGUAUUUAGGAUUUUUAAAUGUUUAUUUCUAUAUUUCCUUACAUGAGCUGCUUUGUUUCUUUGUUUUUUCACAGUAAAUAAGUUUUUCUCACUUUUCCAGAUAAUUAACCUUUCUGCUUCAAAGCCAAGGGUGAGGAUGUGGGGGCUGAUACUCCAGGGGACAGCUUGGGGAUGGACAGCCAAACAGGGUGCAAGUGGAAAACCCUGCUCUGUGGCACUGACAGAGGUGAUUUCCUUCUGUUUUGCUCCUGGACACAAGUUGAAUCUAGCUGUAAGAGAAGGUGGGGCACUCCUCAUGUGCUGCGUGCCAAUUCCCUCCAGCUCUCAGUCUUUGCACUCCAGGAGGGGCUGGGGUUCACUGGAAGCACACAGGGCUCUGGGGGGCUCUUUCAGUGACUGCUGAAGAAAGCAGGUGGUGGCUUAGAAGAGGGAGAACAGAUGGUCUGAGGAGGGUGUUCCUACACCAGGCUGGAGAAAUCAUCUCUUCCCUUCACCUCCCUCAUGCAAGCUGCACAAAGUAUGUGGCAAACUACUCACAGUAGGCAGCUUUUUGGUGUAUUCCUCACUUUUUUCUGUGCACAGUAUGAGACACUCAUUUAUUUUACUGUGAUACGUUGCCACCACACUUUAUAGAACCUGAGUACCAAAGUGAAGUCCCUGGACAUCAAUGAUCAUUUACUUUUUGCUCUCUUGUCUCUCCUGUCCCUUCAUGGGUCUGCUGAACAGGUGUGUACAGGUGUACCUCAGGUGGGAAAGAGGGGAGAGGUGGGAGAUAUCCAUUGGCUGUGCUGCAGCAGGGAUGUAAGGGCACAAACUGCAUUAAUACUUCAGAUUUCCUGGUGUCUGAGUGCUCACAGGCAGUGCAAAGUCUUUAUGUUCAAACCACAAAGUCAGCUUGGUGCUUAGAAACAUGGAACAUUCAGAAAAAUCUCAAGCUGAGCACUCUUAGUAAUUGGUAAAGUAGCAAUUUUGACCUUCAUGUCCUAGUUUCUCAUUUUUUUCAGCUUUCCAAAAGAGAUAAUGUCACCAGGUCUCUCAGGGAGUCAUGCAGGUGGGCUCCUCAAUGCUGGGAACCUGCUCAGCGGCUGCAAAGAGUAAUUGGUCUGAAUGAGUCAUGAAAAUUGAGGUGUUGAUGUAGUUGAAGAUAUCCUUAAUGCUGCUGAUUUACCUGUGCAGUACUUGGUUUUACAGUCCUGUUUAUAGUUUCAAAUAUAUAAACUGUUCCUUAUCAGUCCAUGAGAAAUAAGAAGGAAAAGAUCAUCAGUCCAAAAGAUUGCAGUUUCAUGGCUUGAUCCUAAUUGACUCAGUUAAAGUAAUUUGAAAGAUUUUCUAUCUUUAAUGUCAGUUACAUCUCAAAUGAGACACGGCAGAAUGGUGGGCUGAAAGCUUCUGUAGAAAGGAGA
rnacentral:lncRNA from 1 species